rnacentral:lncRNA from 1 species
CUAUAUAAGGAACGCAUCGGAUUUCAAUUCACCAAUGUGUAACACAAUGUGAAAGCCAAUUAGAAUAGAGCCAGCUCGAGAGCACUGACGGCUUGGAAGAACGUGGCUAUAAAAGUUACCUUAAAGACGAUGUUUUAAAUUCAAUAAAAUAAGGGUUAUCCCUAUAAACAUGUUGUAAUAAAAAUCUUGGGUUUUACCCAUGUGAUUAUAAAAUAAAAUAUGGUGGUU